rnacentral:snRNA from 1 species
UGCUCGCUUCAGCAGCACAUAUACUAAAAUUGGAAUGAUACAGAGAAGAUCA